rnacentral:rRNA from 1 species
ACUUAAGCAUAUCAAUAAGCGGAGGAAAAGAAACUAACAAGGAUUCCCCUAGUAACGGCGAGUGAAGAGGGAAAAGCUCAAAUUUUGAAUCUGGUGUCUUUGGCGCCCGAGUUGUAAUCUAGAGAAGUGUUUUCCGUACCGGACCGUGCACAAGUUCCCUGGAACGGGGCGUCAUAGAGGGUGAGAAUCCCGUAUAUGGCACGGACUACCGGCACUCUGUGAUACACUCUCAACGAGUCGAGUUGUUUGGGAAUGCAGCUCAAAAUGGGUGGUAAAUUCCAUCUAAAGCUAAAUAUAGGCGAGAGACCGAUAGCGAACAAGUACCGUGAGGGAAAGAUGAAAAGCACUUUGGAAAGAGAGUGAAACAGUACGUGAAAUUGUUGGAAGGGAAGCGUUUGAAGUUAGUCGCGUCUGUCGGGAUUCAGCCUGGCUUCUGCCUGGUGUACUUCCCGUCCGACGGGUCAGCAUCAGUUUUGACCGAGAGAAARAGACUUGGGGAAUGUGGCUGUCUUCGGGCAGUGUUAUAGCCCCUUGUUGUAUGUCUCGGUUGGGACUGAGGACUGCAGCGCGCCUUACGGCCGGGGUUCGCCCUCGGUACGCGCUUAGGAUGCUGGCAUAAUGGCUUUAAGCGACCCGUCUUGAAACA